ensembl:lncRNA
CUUUGUUUAUCCAUCUGCAUCUUCCUUCUAUUUGUGUUUAACAUUUGGCUGAAAAUACUGCACGUUUAAGUUCUGUUUUCGAUGUGACUUCUUAAAGCGAUGUAACCGUCGGCGUGUUGUUUGCAGGAGCUGCGGUGGGUCCUCUGCUAGCCGGCCUGAUCUCUCCCACUGGCUGGAACCACGUCUUCUACAUGCUCAUCACUUCUGACCUCUUAGCCUGCCUGUUUUUGUCCAGGCUCGUUUACAAAGAAGCUCUUGGUUGGUGUCGACGUGUCCCCCGAGCCAGAGGGUUCAAAGAAAUCUGAAACACCGGGAACCAAAAUUGAGAAAAGAGGGAGAAAAUGCCGAAACUGACCUUGGUGGACAUUAUAUACUUCACUGAAUGGAAACCAUUGGAGCCGCCAGUGGAGGAUUCGAGGCACUACAACUGACGAUCAAGGCCGCCUUCUUCUUUUAAAAGACAAAUAUUUCUUUAUGGACACAACACUCUUUUUUAAAUGACUGAUUUACCGAUUUUAACUUGUUUUAAUAUUCUUUUAUCAUUAAAAAGUGUGUGCAUUUUCUUAAUUUCUGUCUCCCUAGUUACUGCAUAAAAACAAUAUAUAACAAUAACCUCUAUGUUUUGAGGGGAUGAUUCGUCUAAUGUCUGAAUCACAUUUUGCCUGACCAACAAAAAGAAAGUUGACGCCGCCUUCCUAUAUUUCCAUCUCUCAUUUACGCACAUGGGUCAAAUUAUGAAUAUCAGCCUAAAACUGUGCUUAAAAUGGGACGGGUGUCGGCAAAUUACACAGAUGACAAUUGGACUCCCUGCUCCCCGUUCUCCGUGGCAACCUCUAUAAAAAGGUAGUCAAUGACAGUAAUAAGAACGUACUAGAAGGACAUCGUGACCACAGGCCUCCACAAGGACAAAUGACCUCAUUCACAAUGUUAUUAAAAGCGGAACACUUCUUUUCCCUUUGAUUCAGAUAUGCUCCAAAAUGUGGUAUGACAGACUUGCGUGAAUAAACACUUAAAUAUCGGCUUAUAUAAGCAGUGUACUUUAUUAUGUAUAGUUUGUCUUGUACUGACAGACCCCAGCCAUCAGAGGGCAGGAGGAAACCUCGUUAUUGCAGCGCUCACUUCUUCCAGCCCUGAG